GAUGAAGAACGCAGCGAAAUGCGAUACGUAAUGUGAAUUGCAGAAUUCAGUGAAUCAUCGAGUCUUUGAACGCACAUUGCGCCCCCUGGUAUUCCGGGGGGCAUGCCUGUCCGAGCGUCAUUGCUGCCCUCAAGCACGGCUUGUGUGUUGGGCCUCCGUCCUCCUCCCGGGGGACGGGCCCGAAAGGCAGCGGCGGCACCGCGUCCGGUCCUCGAGCGUAUGGGGCUUCGUCACCCGCUCUUGUAGGCCCGGCCGGCGCUUGCCGACACAUCAAUCUUUUUUCCAGGUUGACCUCGGAUCAGGUAGGGAUACCCGCUGAACUCAAGCAUAUCAAUAAGCGGAGGA
rnacentral:misc_RNA from 1 species